UUUUUUGUUUUUUGUUUUUUCCUCGUAGAUCUGUGCCAAAUGAAGAGGGACUCUUUGGAUAUGCUAUUUUAGCUUUGGCUGUGUUGUAGGUGGUGGAUUUGGGUUGUGCCUUUGAUGAGAAGGGGGAGCUGGUUUUUCGGCUUUACAAACUUCACUGGGGGAAGAUUUUGUGGGGAUUACAUUACCGACACCUUAAUAGCGUCCAGUUCUCCUCCUUGACUCUAAAUCUUGUCAAAAGCCAGACGCCUCCUUGUAAAGCUGCAGAAACCAAGAACUACAUGGACUCCGUUGAGAUCCUUGGGCGAUGGUUAGCUUUUGCUGAGCGGCGUUGCAGCCUUGUGCUUUUUGUUGCUGCUGAUUUUGGGUCUCACGGAUCGAAUCACUUACGGAUGAUUAUUUCUAGGCCUUAAAGCCUUUCUUUCUUUAGUUUCAAUUGGCUAAGCUUGCUGGGCCAUUUGUUGAUUCUAGAUUUUUUUUUUAUUUGGGCUGCAAGCUGGUUCUGUAAAAACUCUUUCGAAUUGUGUAGAGUGGCGAUGAGGUGCACAACUUACAAGUAGUGAAGACUGAAGAUGAUAACAAUGAUUUUGUCUUUUCUAGACUUCACUAGUAAAAAUACCAUGAAGUAAAUUUUCUCCUACACAGGAACGAGCUAGAAAACCUUUUUUAAGUUGAGUAAUUCAAAUUAUUUAUUUCAAUUGUAUUUGAG
rnacentral:misc_RNA from 1 species